GCGAUGAACCAGGCUGCCGCGGGGGGCCGCAGGAAAGCCCGUUUUCCGGGCAUGCGGCCUUCCCGAGGAAAGUCCGGGCUCCGCAGGGCAUGAUGCCGGGUAAUUCCCGGGCGGAGAGUAUGAAUCUUCCGGCCCAGAGCCGGCGGAUAUUCAUUGGCUUUCCGACAGACAGCGCAACAGAAAGGAUACCGCCUCCCGGGGCCGGAGGGUUUCGGCUUUUUGCGUCUCAGGGGGUAAGGGUGAAAUGGCGGGGUAAGCGCCCGCCUCGGCGGCGGCAACGCCGCCGGAAAGAUUCCGGUUAAACGGAAAACGGCAAGCCUCAUCAGGAGCAAAAUCAAGCGGCGCGAAAGGGGGUCCCCUUGCCGGCGGCCCGCCGGUUAAGCGCGGGUAGAUUGCGGGGUUAGUCCCAAAGGCCGUCCGUAAGGUCAGGCCUAAGACAGAUGGCGGCCAGGGCCGCCUCCGCGGCCAUACAGAACCCGGCUCACGGUUCAUCGUUUUU
rnacentral:RNase_P_RNA from 1 species